rnacentral:lncRNA from 1 species
AGACUGGCCGGCUCAGAGUCGGAAAUGUGUCCGGGUCGGGUGACUUUUCUUCCUGCGAACUAAUAUCUUGUGAACUUACACGAUAAAAAAAAAACGACUCAGCUUGUGAGUCUAGUAAACUAGAGGCUCUAAAGAGCCUGUGUCGCUCACCUUGGUCUAUGUGAAUAUUAAACAAAGGAAGCAGAUGGAUUCAUGACAGAAUUGUGUUUUGGUGAUGGUGAUGUGUUUGUACAUCUUACUUUACUGAACAUUCUUGCUACUUACAAUUAUCUCUAUCUAUAAUGAACUUGGCCCAGUAGUUUCAGUGGAAAAUGUUAGUUAAAAUUUACAAAUUUUAUGAAAAUUGUUAAAAAUUGACUACAAAGGACAAUAACUCCUUAGGGGUCAAUUGACCAUUUCCGUCAUGUUGACUUAUUUGUAAAUCUUACUUUGCUUAACAUUAUUGAUACAGUUUAUCUCUAUCUAUAAUAAUAUUCAAGAUAACAACCAAAAACAGCAAAAUUUCCUUAAAAUUACCAAUUCAGGGGCAGCAACCCAACAACAGGUUGUCAGAUUCAUCUGAAAAUUUCAGGGCAGAUAGAUCUUGACCUGAUAAACAAUUUAACCCCAUGUCAGAUUUGCUCUAAAGGCUGCGGUUUCAGAGUUAUAAGCCAAAAACUGCAUUUUACCCCUAUGUUCUAUUUUUAGCCAUGGCGGCCAUCUUGGUUGGUUGGCCAGGUCAUGGGACACAAUUUUUAAACUAGAUACCCCAAUGAUAAUUGUGGCCAAGUUUGGUUUAAUUUGGCCCAGUAGUUUCAGAGGAGAGGAUUUUUGUAAAAGAUAACUAAGAUUUACGAAAAAUGGUUAAAAAUUGACUAUAAAGGCCAAUAACUCCUAAAGAAAUCAACAGACCAUUUUG